GUGCCAUAAUUUCUGAUGUGUGUUUAUUCAUUUCCGGGCCAAUUCUGGUUAGCGAAGGGAGUGCCUUUUAUGUUGCCUCAGGCACGGUAUCCUCCCAGCACUGGGUGUGGCCGCCCCCGUGCUGUUUCCACCCUGUCACCAGAUGCUCAUUAAGCUCCAGCCUGGAGGGGUAGGGGAGUCCAGCACUAGGAAUGGGAGAUGGGGGGAGUCAGGUAUCCAGAGUAAACUGUGCUGGGGUAGGUGUAGCACAGGGUCUGUGGGACCCACAAGAUGGACUUGUCACCGCCUGGAUCAGGUAGGCUUCCCGGAGGAGAUGCCACCUAAGUUACAAGAGAAGGAAGGGAAAAGGGUGCUCCUGGAAGGAAGAACAAGGAGUAUGGGCUGGAUGCCAGGCCCGGGCCUGCAGGAACCUCCGCGGGCCGCCAUCUGGGCCUCGAUGGAGCUCCACCCGCCGCCAUUGCAGCCCUUCCUGUUACUACUGCUGCUACUGCUGCUGCUGCUUCUGCCGGCGGUGCCCGAGACGGGAGGGUCCUGGCAGUGCCCGCGCAUCCCCUAUGCUGCCUCCUGCGACUUUGACGUGGAGUACUUGGUGCCCAGCUUCUCGGCCGGCCGGCCGGUACAGGCUGUGGCAACCUACGAGGGCGGCAGGGAAGGGAGUGCCGUGUUCGUGGCCACACGUAAUCGCCUGUAUGUGCUUGGGCCUGAUCUGCAGCCAGUUGAGAGCCUGGCCACCGGCCCUGCUGGGGCCCCUGGCUGCCAGACGUGUGCGGCCUGUGGCCCAGGCCCCCACGGCCCACCGGGAGACACAGAUGCGCAGGUUCUGGUGCUGGAGCCGGUGCUGCCUGCACUGAUCAGUUGUGGCUCCAGCCUUCGGGGACGCUGCUUCCUGCAUGAGCUAGAGCCCCGCGGGACAGCCCUGCACCUGGCGCCACCAGUCUGCCUUUUCUCGGCGCACCACAAUCAUCCGGAGGACUGUCCCGACUGUGUAGCCAGCCCGCUGGGCACCCUCGUGACCGUGGUUGAGCAGGGUCAUGCCUCCUACUUCUACGUGGCAUCCUCACUGGACUCGGCGGUGGCCACCAGCUUCAGCCCACGAUCAGUGUCCAUCCGGCGCCUCAAGGCCGACGCCUCAGGAUUUGCACCAGGCUUUGCAGCACUGUCAGUGGUGCCUGAGCACCUGGCUUCCUACCGCAUCGAAUACGUGUACAGUUUCCGUGCAGGAGCCUUCGUCUAUUUCCUGACUGUGCAGCCAGCCAACGUGGUAGAUGCUCCUGGUGCCUUACACACGCGCCUGGUACGGCUCAGCGCUGUCGAGACUGACCUGGGUGACUACCGUGAGCUGGUCCUCGACUGCCGUUUUGCACCUAAACGCCGGCGACGCGCAGCCCAUGAGGGCGCACAGCCCUACCCGGUGUUGCAGGCGGCCCACGCUGCUCCAGUGGGCGGGCGACUGGCCACUGAGCUGAGCAUCGCUGAGGGCCAGGAAGUGCUAUUCGGGGUCUUCUCGGCUAGCAGAGACAGCGGCCCAGGUGUGGAUCCCAACUCUGUCGUCUGUGCGUUCCCUGUAGACUUGCUGGACACUCUCAUCGAGCAGGGUGUGGAGCGCUGUUGUGAGCCUCCUGUCCACCCUGGCCUCCGGCGAGGCCUCGACUUCUUCCAGUCGCCCAGUUUUUGCCCUGACCCGCCUGGCCUGGUGGCUCCCAGCCCCAAAACCAGCUGCCGCCACUUCCCUCUGCUGGUCAGCAGCAGCCUCUUACGGGUGGACCUAUUCAACGGGCUGUUAGGACCAGCGCAGGUCACUGCAUUGCACGUGACACGUCUCAACAAUGUCACAGUGGCCCACAUGGGCACAGCCGAUGGGCGCAUCCUGCAGGUGGAGCUGGCCAGGUCUCUCAACUACUUGCUGUACGUGUCCAACUUCUCACUGGGCAGCAAUGGGCAGCCUGUGCAUCGGGAUGUCAGUUGCCUUGGGGACCACCUGCUCUUUGCCUCUGGGGACCAGGUCUUCCAGGUACCUAUCCAGGGCCCUGGCUGCCGCCACUUCCUUACCUGUGGGCGUUGCCUGCGGGCACAGCGUUUCAUGGGCUGUGGAUGGUGUGGGGGCAUGUGUGGCCGGCAGAAGGAUUGUCCUGGCUCCUGGCAACAGGACCAUUGCCCACCCGAGCUUACUAAGUUCAGCCCCCACAGUGGACCCCUAAGGGGCAGCACAAGACUGACCCUGUGUGGCUCCAACUUCUACCUGCAUCCUCCUGGUCUGGUGCCUGAGGGCACCCAUCAGGUCACUGUGGGUCAAAGUCCCUGCCGACUGCUGCUCAAAGGCAACUCAAACCUCAGCCAAGUACCCCGGAAGGACUUUGUAGAGGAGCUUGAGUGUGAACUGGAGCCCUUGGGCACGCAGGAAGCCGGGCCUGCCAACGUCAGCCUCACUGUGACCAACAUGCCACUGGGCAAGCACUUCCGGGUAGAUGGCACCUCCAUGCUGCGAGGCUUCUCUUUCAUGGAACCCGUGCUGACAGCAGUACAACCCCUCUUUGGUCCACGGGCAGGGGGUACCUGCCUCACCCUUGAAGGCCAAGGCCUGUCUGUUGGCACCAGCCGGGCUGUGCUGGUCAAUGGGACUGAGUGCCUGCUGAAACGGGUCAGCGAGGGGCAACUUUUAUGUACCACACCCCCCGGGGCUGCUACCGCCCGCGUUCCCAUUCGCCUGCAGGUGGGGGGCGCCGAAGUGCCUGGCUCCUGGAACUUCCACUAUCAGGAAGACCCCAUCAUGCUGGGUAUCAGCCCCAACUGUGGCUACACUGGUUCCCACGUCACCAUCCAUGGCCAGCAUCUGACUUCAGUGUGGCACCUCGUGCUGUCAUUCCAUGAUGGGCGCAGGGCAGUGGAGAACAGGCAGUGUGAGGGGCAGCUCCCGGAGAAGCACUGGUGCCGCCUGCCCGAAUACGUGGUCCGAGGACCACAGGGGUGGGUGACGGGGAACCUGAGUGCCCAGGGGGAUGGAGCUGCUGGCUUCACACUGCCUGGCUUUCGCUUCCUGGCCCCACCCCACCCACCCAGCAUGGACCUGGUCGCACUGAAGCCUGAGGAGCAUGCCGUUAAGUUUGAGUACAUUGGGCUGGGCGCUGUGGCUGAUUGUGUGGAUGUGAACGUGACCGUGGGUGGUGAGAGCUGCCAGCAUGAGCUGCGGGGGGAUGUGAUUGUCUGCCCCCUUCCCUCCGCCCUGCAACUUGGCAAGGACGGUGCUCCACUGCAGGUCUGCGUGGAUGGUGGGUGUCACAUCCUGGGCAAGGUACUGCGGCCAGGUCUGGAAGGGGUCCCACAGAGCACACUCCUCGGUGUCCUACUGGCCCUGCUCCUGCUUGUGGCUGUACUGGCCACCAUACUGGUCUUCAGUUACCACCAGAGAAAACAGCUAGUCCCUUCUCCGAACCUGGAUGACUUGGCAUCCCUGGACCGGACCACUGGAGCCAUGCCUCUGCCUCUGCUCCGCUCAAGCUCUGACUAUAGAAAUGGCCUUGCAGCCCCUGCCAUUGAUAGCCGGGAUUCCACCACUCAGGUCCACAGAACAUCCUUCUCAGGCAACGGGGAUGGGUCCCAUGUCCCACUGCUGCGGAAAGAGUCCAUCCAGCUUGGGGACCUGAACUCUGCACUCCUGGCCGAGGUCAAGGAUGUACUGAUUCCCCACGAGUGGGUAGUCACCCACACUGACCGAGUCAUUGGCAAAGGUCACUUUGGAGUUGUUUACCAUGGAGAAUACACAGACGAGGCCCAGAAUCAAAUCCACUGUGCCAUCAAGUCGCUGAGUCGCAUCACGGAGGUGCAGGAGGUGGAGGCCUUCCUGCGUGAGGGGCUGCUCAUGCGCAGUCUGCACCACCCAAAUGUGAUGGCUCUUAUUGGUAUCGUGCUGCCGCCUGAAGGGCUGCCCCGCGUGCUGCUGCCCUAUAUGCGCCACGGAGACCUGCUCCAAUUCAUCCGCUCACCCCAGCGGAGCCCCACAGUGAAGGACCUCAUCAGCUUCGGCCUGCAGGUGGCCCGUGGCAUGGCGUACCUGGCAGAGCAGAAGUUUGUGCACCGGGACCUGGCUGCUCGGAACUGCAUGCUGGAUGAGUCAUUCACAGUCAAGGUGGCUGACUUUGGUCUGGCCCGCGAUGUCCUGGACAAGGAGUACUACAGUGUCCAACAGCGCCGCCAUGCUCGCCUACCUGUCAAAUGGAUGGCGCUAGAGAGCCUGCAGACCUACAGAUUCACCACCAAGUCCGACGUGGUUAGGCCCCACCUGCCCCAGAGUCCACACGGCCUCAGAGAACACUUGGCCUUGCCCAUUGAUCUCCGGAUGGUGAUGAGCCCAGGGAAUCCCCAUGCUGGGCAGCCCCACAGCCCAUUCGUCCACCUCUGGGCAGUGGUCGUUUGGUGUCCUCUUAUGGGAACUGCUGACACGGGGUGCCCCACCGUACCCCCACAUCGACCCUUUUGACCUCAUGCACUUCCUGGCCCAGGGUCGGCGCCUGCCCCAGCCUGAGUAUUGCCCUGAUUCUCUAGAGAAGCAGCCCCAGGAAUCGGUAGCUGAGCACUGAUCCAGUAUCUGCCAGGCCCUGAUGAAAAACACCGUUUACUCCAUGCUGGGCUGGAGAACUCUCCUCUAUGAAGACCCCAGGAACCAAGCAUCUCUUCACUCAGAGCCUCUGUUCUGCCCGUGUGAGGGUCCAACCAGCUUGGAGGUGGAGCUACUCCGGCCUGGAGGAGGGGGGAUGACUUGAUGAACCACCCCCAGCAUUCCCCAUCAACUGGCACAGGGGGGCCAGUUGAGCCUCAGUCUCUCCCUCCAUUCUUUUGGGGUUUGUUCCAGUUGGGUUUUUUAACCCAAUGAGCCUAGAUGCCAAGAGAGCCCAGGACCAGCUCCUGUCCCUCCACAGCUACCCAUUCCCCCACAAUUUCUGCUCCACCCAUCCUGCAGCCCAAACAUUGGAAGGGAAGCAGAUGCACUAGUGGUCCUGAGAGCCAGCCUUUGCUGGGCAGGUGGCAGUAGGGCCCUUGUAUUUGGCCCUCGCCUGUCUCACUGUUGCUCUGUGGGAGCUUGAGGGCCAGGCCCAUGAUGGUUCCUAUUCUGAGCUCAGGUGGUAGGAGCUGAGGGAAGUUGCUGAAUCCCUGGGGCUCAGCAUGGGCAGAGGCAGAGGAAGCGCGAGAGCCAGGGGCAUCCUUGCCUUCUCUCCAAUCUGUUGCCUUUCUUGUUGGUUUAGCCACUUGCACACUUGUGGUCAGUCUUGGACUGGGCAGUUGGGAUCUGGGAAUGCAUCAGGGAAGGCAGGGGACUCAAAAGCAGCAGCUGGUGGCCAAGAUCACAGGAUUUGAUCAGCUUUGAAGCCAGAGCUCCCUCUCUCAUGCUACAAGUCCACCCCCCUGACCGGCUCCAUGCGGCCUGGACCAUGGAGACUUAGAGACCCCCAAAGAGUCAGCUCCACCCCUGGGCUCCACCGUAGCGACAGCUUCAGCCAGGCAUCGGUCCUGCUGACAUGUCUCUCCAAGCUGGGGAGGCCCCUCUUCAAAGGGUGAAAGGAAUUGUUUGGGCUGCCCCAGUCACUUUGCCCACGUGGGCUCCUGCCCUGGUCUCUCUGACCCAACCGUCUGUUCCUUUUUUUUUUUUUAAUUUAUUUAUUUAAUUU